GUUUUUUUUUGGUUUUGC
rnacentral:sRNA from 1 species